rnacentral:rRNA from 1 species
CAAUAGCGUAUAUUAAAGUUGUUGCGGUUAAAAAGCUCGUAGUUGGAUUUCUGCCGAGGACGACCGGUCCGCCCUCUGGGUGUGUAUCUGGUUUGGCCUGGGCAUCUUCUUGGAGAACGUAGCUGCACUUGACUGUGUGGUGCGGUGUCCAGGACUUUUACUUUGAGGAAAUUAGAGUGUUUCAAGCAGGCACACGCCUUGAAUACAUUAGCAUGGAAUAAUAAGAUAGGACCUCGGUUCUAUUUUGUUGGUUUCUAGAGCUGAGGUAAUGAUUAAUAGGGAUAGUUGGGGGCAUUCGUAUUUAACUGUCAGAGGUGAAAUUCAUGGAUUUGUUAAAGACGGACUACUGCGAAAGCAUUUGCCAAGGAUGUUUUCAUUGA